rnacentral:tRNA from 1 species
GGGGUUGUGGCUCAGUGGUAGAGCACUUGCCUCGAGUGUGUGUGAGGCCCUGAGUUCGAUCCUCAGCACCACCU